rnacentral:rRNA from 1 species
GACGAACGCUGGCGGCGCGCUUAACACAUGCAAGUCGAGCGAAGCGGCGGACGGGUGAGUAACACGUGAGUAACCUGCCUUAGACAUUGGGAUAGCCUCGGGAAACCGGGAUUAAUACCACAUGGUCUAAGAUGGACUCGCGUCCCAUUAGCUAGUUGGUGGGUAACGGCCCACCAAGGCGACGAUGGGUAGCCGGCCUCAUAGGGUGAACGGCCACAGUGGAACUGUGAAACGGUCCAAACGCUACGGGAGGCAGCAGUGGGGAAUAUUGCACAAUGGAGUGAACUCUGAUGCAUCGACGCCGGUGGAACGAAGAAGGCUGUCGAGUCGUAAAGUUCUUUUAUAUGGGAAGCGGUACCAUAAGAAAAAGCCCCGGCUAACUACGUGCCAGCAGCCGCGGUAAUAC